GUCCUGCUUUAUUUCUUUGUCAUUUUCAAUUAAAUUGCCAAGCACAAUAAGACAGCUGUGUUGUAAGGAGACGAAAUUCGAGACAGGGGUGUUAUUUCAAUGAAGCGCGUGGUCAAAGGAACCGGGUGGAAGACGGUGGAAGGGAAAUUAUAUGUAAAUGUUUGUCGCAGUUUUACACAUAUUCCAUAACCAUGGUUAAUAAAUGGUCAGACACGUCACUGGCUUUAAAAUAUAAACCCCAUUGAUGCAAAAAGAUGCUGCAUGGAAUGACAAUGUGGUUUUGAACAGACUUGGUGAAGAACAUGGAAACAUCUCUUAAUAAAAUGGCCCCAAACAUCAUCAGGAGUGCAAAAGAAGGAAGUAAAAAACAUCUCUACGCCAAUCUCAUUGGAGAGGAAACCACAGAAGGUCUGGUGAGGAAUGCUGCACUUAUGUUAUUGCAAGCAAGAAAAUCCCAGCUUCCUUGACUGUGUAAAUAGUGAACCCAAAGGUCCCACACCAACCAUAGUGUUCAACGGCUCUCCUGAUCUUCUCAAAUCUGAAAGUAUCAACUUUAUAAUGGACAAUGUGAACUUAAUAUGUGGAAGACAUUGACAUCACAGGCUGUGGAAUGACUGUGUCACAGGUCGGAGAAGCGGACCAGAGAAGCGGACCGCCCCUGUCUCGAGGAGGUCCCAAAGCACCCCAAUGACCAGACAAACCAGAGAUAAGUAAAAUAUAGAAAUAGAAACUUUAUUUAAAUUAUUUAAAACUAAAGUGGGAAAUGGGAAUCUAAAAAUCUCGCUUCUCGUCCUCAGUGGGAGUAUUACGGGGCCAGGGACGUUGGAGGGGUUUCCACGUGACUCCAGCUGGAACACCGCUACAGAGCGUAUCUGGGUGGGUUACGCACCGUCGCGGCGGCCCCUGAUGGCAUCCACAAAGGUCCAAGACCCUCCUAAGCUCCUAGCCGUAGCAGAACUACGUAUUUCAGCACCCGAAGGACUAACAACCCAGCCGGCAUCUGCAGCAUAUAUCCAACGCGAUCAAACUUCACUCUGACAAGUAACUUCCUAUACACAACCACGCCGUCCUUUCGCCCGGACCAGCCCCGCACUCUUUCCGCCCGCUACCUGGCGGUCGCCGGAUCAGCAGAGCAUGCGGACUCUUCGGAGGCUGGUCUUCGUUGUGCUGCCCAAGGCGGAAGUUGACUCGCCCGAAAAUCGACCCUUCCGGUAACUUCUACCUUCUCUCUUUAUAUCCUCCUCCAUGGCGUGGCUCGCCCAACCAUCGCUCACCACGUCACUCACACAGCUGUGCCUUGUUUCAGCAAGUGCGGGGAUUCCCGGGGAACCCGGAAGUGCCGGUGUCUGUACAAACCGGUCCGGGCGGAACCUCUUCACUCUCCUUUUGGUUCCGCCCCGCAUAGUGACUCCGUGACAACUGUUUGCAUUUUUUUUUCUCCUCAAUGUUCAAUACCCUUUUGCCAUUAAGCACACAGUGACUUUAAUUUAUAAAAUAUAUGCUUAAGUUUUAAUACCUGUACAAAACAAAUGUACAAUCAACUGGUGUAAAUUGUCAUUCUAUUUAAUAGAUUGUUCAUGAAUUGUCUUUAAAUGCAUUGUGAUUUCGGUAACACUUUACAAUAAAGUUCAUUAGUUAACAUUAGUUAAUGUAUUAACUAACUUGAACAAACCAUAAGCAAUACAUUUGUUACAGUAUUUAUUCAUCUUUGUUAAUGUUAGUUAAUAAAAAUUUAAGCUUUAAUUGCUUGUUCAUGUUAGUUCAGAGUGCAUUAACUAAUGUUAACAAGAUUUUAAUAAAGUAAUUGUUGAAAUUAACAUUAACAAAGAUUAAUAAAGGCUGUAUAAGUGCAGUUCAUUAUUAGUUCAUGUUAACUAAUGUAGCUAACUAAUGUUAACUAAUGAACCUUAUUGUAAAGUGUUACCGUGAUUUCUUUUCAUCAUUUCAGACACAUGUAAAAGUUACUAAAAAAUAGUACUGCAUAUACUGUACAGUAUCUAUGCGUAAGAGAAAUAACUUGAACAAAAUUUUUAAUGUAUAGUGUAAUUAAGAGUUUAGCUGUUUAAUACAGAGAUGCAAUUUAUUUAUAUAUAUUAUUUAUAUAUAAACGUAUGUAUGUUUAUUAAAAAGUGAAAAUGCUUAAUGGAAAUAAUUAAAUAACUAAAUGGUUGAA